rnacentral:rRNA from 1 species
AACCAUGUGACUUACCACUGUUGCCUCGGUGGUUGGUCUUCGGACUGACCACCGGUGGACUACUAAACUCUUGUUAAUUUUUGGCAUUCUGAAUCAUAACUAAGAAAUAAGUUAAAACUUUCAACAACGGAUCUCUUGGUUCUGGCAUCGAUGAAGAACGCAGCGAAAUGCGAUAAGUAAUGUGAAUUGCAGAAUUCAGUGAAUCAUCGAAUCUUUGAACGCACAUUGCGCCCAUUAGUAUUCUAGUGGGCAUGCCUGUUCGAGCGUCAUUUCAACCCUUAAGCCUAGCUUAGUGUUGGGAGACUGCCUAAUACGCAGCUCCUCAAAACCAGUGGCGGAGUCUGUUCGUGCUCUGAGCGUAGUAAUUCUUUAUCUCGCUUCUGUAAGCCGGUCAGACGACAGCCAUAAACCGCACCCUUCGGGGGCACUUUUUAAUGGUUGACCUCGGAUCAGGUAGGAAUACCCGCUGAACUUA